ACUCAAAUGAAUAGACGGGGGCCCGCACAAGCGGAGGAACAUGUGGUUUAAUUCGAUGAUACGCGAGGAACCUUACCCGGGAUUGAACGUACUCGGACGGCGGAUGAGAAUCUGCUUCCAGCGAUGGCCGAGUGCGAGGUGCUGCAUGGUUGUCGUCAGCUCGUGCCGUGAGGUGUCGGCUUAAGUGCCAUAACGAGCGCAACCCUUGCCGCCAGUUACCAUCGAGUAAUGUCGGGGACUCUGGCGGGACUGCCGGCGUAAGCCGCGAGGAAGGCGGGGAUGACGUCAAAUCAGCACGGCCCUUACAUCCGGGGCGACACACGUGUUACAAUGGCGCGGACAAAGAGCAGCUACCUGGUGACAGGAUGCUAAUCCCCAAACCGCGUCCCAGUUCGGAUCGGAGUCUGCAACCCGACUCCGUGAAGCCGGAUUCGCUAGUAAUCGCGCAUCAGCCAUGGCGCGGUGAAUACGUUCCCGGGCCUUGUACACACCGCCCGU
rnacentral:rRNA from 1 species